ACCAUCGUUUUCAGAAACAUUAAAUUCCUCAUUUCACCAUGAAAUACGCAGUGGUAUUGAUAUGUGCUUUGGUGCUCAUUUUGGGCGUUCUAGAUUCCAACCAACAGACACCCAGUAAAAUUGAAGAUGACGAUGAUAGUGACAGUGGAGUGCUGGCUAGUUUCAAGGAACAAGUGGACAAAUUGGCAGAUCUGCUAGGGAAUGUUUCCGGUAUAUCUUUUAUACUAGACAAAUGUGACACAUUUUUCGAAAUAUUACUAAAAGCACUCAGUUCUUGCAGAGGAUUCUUUGGAAAUCUGAAUGCAACUCUUAGCCAUCAAGAUCAGUGAAUAAUGGAAUACAUGAGAGUACUGUAGCCAAUAAAUAAAGAUUACUUAAUUACAAA